UAAAUUAUUUUGUAAAGGAAAAGGAAAAGGUGGUUCACCCAGGGCGAGGCUCGGCCAUUGCACUUCGGUCAUGCUGACCCCUGCGAAUUCCCCAAAUGUGGGAAUCUUGACCGCAUAAUUUCUGCUAGUGGGGGACUGCGUUCGCGCUCUCCCCUG